UUAAUCUUAGUGGCGGACGGGUGAGUAACGCGUGGGUAACCUGCCUUACACUGGGGGAGUAACACUUAGAAAUAGGUGCUAAUACCGCAUAAGCGCACGAAGCCGCAUGGAUUUGUGUGAAAAACUACCGGUGGUGUAAGAUGGACCCGCGUCUGAUUAGCUUGUUGGCGGGGUAACGGCCCACCAAGGCGACGAUCAGUAGCCGGCCUGAGAGGGUGGACGGCCACAUUGGGACUGAGACACGGCCCAAACUCCUACGGAAGGCAGCAG
rnacentral:rRNA from 1 species